rnacentral:rRNA from 1 species
UGCGUAGGUGGUGAUAUAAGUUAACUGUGAAAUCCCCGGGCUCAACCUGGGAAGGUCAGUUAAGACUGUGUGACUAGAGUAUGGGAGAGGGUAGUGGAAUUUCCGGUGUAGCGGUGAAAUGCGUAGAGAUCGGAAGGAACACCAGUGGCGAAGGCGGCUACCUGGCCUAAUACUGACACUGAGGCACGAAAGCGUGGGUAGCAAACA